AGCAUGAAAUUCUAGAAAACCCUACCAUCUCCUGGUAAAUGAAUCGUCUGGCGUUCAAUUCGUCUUUUCAAUGGAAACAUAACAGCAUUUUAUUGCUCAGGAGAUGAGGGUUAUGGGAGAUACAUGGAGAUAGCACUCAAGCAACGAUACUCAUCCUAGGGCCACCAUAGCCGCAGGCUUCACUUCCGUUUAAUUUGCAUUUUUUCAAUCUCUACAUCCCAUCUUACUCUAUGUAUCUAUUUUUAACCUAAUCAAUCUAUGUUCUUUUUCUAUUUGUAUGGGUUCAAGGACAAUUGUGCUAACUCAGGGUGUUCAGAUCUAGGGUUCUGACAAAAUGGAGAUGGUUACGGGUUCCGGUGGCGAGUGUGUUAAGAUUAGACAACUAUCAGAGGAAGAUCGACCUUCCAACCAUGCUACGGCAAAGAUUCCGGCAACUACGAUGAAUGUUUGUGGCUUACCCGAUUGUGACGUGUUAUUGGUUCGGUUUGUUGCCGACCCGAAUCUUUAUGUCCAGUUGGAGUUCGUAGCUAGGGGCGUCUUCUCAGCAACCGUGGUUCAUGACUAAUACGCUGUUAUUGUUGUGCCUGAUGUAAGUAUCCGUGCAUAAAAAUACAAGCCAUGGAGAUUAUCAAACAAAAGAAUAAUGUGCAGACGUUUUCCAGUAUAUUCUUCCAUACGCUAAGGCUUCUUCUGUAAGCCUUUCAUAAAUUAUAAUCAGUUGAGAGAUGACGAGAUGAGCAGAAGGCAUAGCAUCGCGGCGUCCUCUGUGAGAGAUGACGAGAGUAUGGACAGUUCGCCGUCGGUUCCGAGUUUCCUAUUUUACCGCACUAUUGUGUGCAUAGUCAUUGCUAGAAUGGCUUUAUAGUAUGUAUUUUAGCAUCUGUGUUAAACUUAAAAACGAAAGUCGAGGUGGCGGUUGUGUAGGAAGUCGUGGCGGUGGUCGAGGUUGAAGUCGAGGCGGAGGUGGAGGCGGUGGAGAAGGCGGAGCUUUGUCGACUCUACUGCAACACUCACGAGGUUCUUGAAAAUCAUAAAAAUGGGAAAAAACAUGAAUAGAAUAUGGAAAUACAGGAAGAAUUACAGCGGCUUGCGGGAAAAACACAAAUGUCGGUUCCCAUGGAUAGCCGGAAGUCAAAGUCGAAAGUCAAAUGAUGCAGGCUGAAGAACAAGGGAACAGUUUAAAGAGAAAAAUGAGAGAGGGAAUACUAACCAAUUAUUGUUGCAAUGUUCUUGACAUCAGUCGUAAGGAAUCGAGAUGGUGAAGUCACGUUAUACCCUUUUCAGAACCAAACAUUUCUCCUUUAAGUGGGAACCCUCAUUUGUUUAGAGUUCAUACGUUCGGGCUGCAGUGGACCUGGCUUUUAUAUAUGGGGAGAUGCGGAUCUUUUUAGCUACAGGAGAGGUUUAUUGACACGUCUUAGUGGAAAGGUGAAAAAAAUGAAGUUCAGUAUCAAUUUCAGUGAGCCAACCUUAGGUUAAAAUGCUUAAUAUGUGCUCUGAAGAGAGUCCCUUGUUAUGGAUGCUUAGUGAGUUGGUGAAGCUAGCAAACCACAAGAGUUCAGUGGCCAAUCUUAUUUUUGCAUGUUUGCAUUGCUGAAUAUUUCCAUCGCUUAUUCAACCAUAUUUUUUCUCACGGUAUAUUGUUUUGUAUUAUUAAAGUAUAUUGUUUGAAAAUGGAAUUGGAUUAUAAUA